rnacentral:lncRNA from 1 species
CAAAUACAAUGGGAAGCAAUUCCUAGAAAGAGGUAAUUGCGCACAAAAGGAAAAUAAACUAUCCUAAUGGCAAUGUGAAUACGGCAUCCACUAUUUCCCAAUUCUGUUAUAACCCACAGAUCAUCAGUUUUCCUCCCAACUCCUUGCUUUCUGAGAAGAAUGACUGGACCGAUCACAUCUUUCAAGAUGGCAGCUGACGAAGCGCAAUGAAGUACAGAUAACUCAGACUGUAGUCUUCGCUUUAAUCCCUCUUUUGGCUGGAUCGCCCUUUCGGGUUUUCAAUCCACCGGGAUACCCAUUUUUGCCUAAGCCGC